CUUGAACAGUAGAAUAAAUGCCUACCGACUGAUGUGUCAUCUAUGGACCCUCGGGCCCGCAGUCUCCACGGUUCCUCCACCUCAGCGGCUGAGCCUAGGAGCUGCACGCACGCGCAAAAGGAGAGGUUUUGACCUUUAGGAGAGAGCCAAUUCUGGAGAACAACCUAACUUCUUUGAUUGAACGUUCAUAUAAUGCAUUGGAACAUGAUAGGAGAUUAAGGUUUAGUAACAAUAAAAUGAAGACAAUAAUAGAACAAGCCCCUUACGUAGCCCAGCAGUUCUUACCUUUUUCUACCUUGACAUGAAGUCUUACCUACUUGAUGAAGAUGUCUUUUGAAUGGUGUACUGCAAGGAGUGAAAUACUGUUUGUAAAUUAUGCUUUUGCCAAGGUGGAUAUUACUAAUCCUUAUCCAUGGAAAAGGUUUUAUUCUAAGUGUCAUUUCUCAUUGAAUAUUAUCAAAAAGGAGAAAAACUAAUGCCCUAAACUUUUGAGAUAGUUUUGGCUCUAGUAAGUAUUUAGACAUAAUACUUGCAUAUCUGGGAGAAGAAAUAAGAGACCAUCAUCAGUACAUUUCCAGCUAACAUUUUUAUUUUCUUGCCUCUUACCAAGGGAUUUCUUACAGGUUUUAUUACAAUAGAUUGAACACCUUUAAUGGAGAAUUAGUUUUCUCCACUAUAAUUUAAGAGUUUAUGUUCUUACCUUGUUUAUUUAUAAAGUAUAUCCCACAGAUUUCUUAUGUCUUCUUUUUUUAGGCUAUAUCCAAUGAAGAAAAUGGCAAAACAAGUUUAAACCUUUUAUGUUAAAAUUACUGUGCAAGGUGACAAGCAUUUAUUUUGACAUCACCACUGUCCCCACAAAAAAUGUGAGAACUGACUGUACCAUGGAUACCUAGACCAUGGAAAGGACUGAGGCUGGAGACUGGAAGUAGAAGCAGACAUUGUACAGAGCAAAGUGCCAACAACAGCUCACUCUAGUAAAGGGCAAUAAAUGCCCCAUGAGGUGAUCUCCUCAGUACAAGACUUUACAUCUGACUCAUAUGCCUGGUCUGAUGACUUCUACUAUCUUUUCAUGACUCCUAAAUUAUGGAGUUACAGUGUCCCAUUCUAUUUUGGAGUGAAUUCAAGAGGCUUACUGAGAUGUUCUUGACAGAUGUGUCUCCAGAUGAGAUAAUCUUGAAAAUAUUUACUGAAAUAAGAAACUCAAUCCACUCUGAAAGCACACAUUUUCUAAUGAAUAAUAUAUAUAUUUUUAAUUUUGGUAACCCAUCUCCUUGCAGAAACCUCUCCAUUGUGAACCCAUGACUUCUCAGAAACUGUUUAAUUAAAGGCUUAAGUUAUUUUAAUUUAAACACAUUGUCAAUGUUAUGAAUUGUAUUUGUAGUAAGCUCCAGAAAGGAAGGCCUUGUUUUGUUCCUUGCUGUGUCUCUCAUGUCUAGAAUAGUAUUGGUACACAAACGUCCAUAAUUAAUUAAUUAAGUUUAUGUAUAUUACAUAUUUCCCUAGGUAAUGUUUCUAGGAGCACAUUAAAAAGAACAUUUUAUUUCUCAUCUUAAACUAGUAUCUGGCAAAUAUGAAUGUCUAAGAACACAUUAAUAUCAGUUUAAACAUUUCCUGUCCUAUUCCCUGGCAAUCUAUAGUUACAACAUUUUUUAUUUCAGUAUUAUUUUAACCAGUUAUCAGUUUUUAAUAAUCUUAUCAGCAAAGCACUAUACAGAGUUAAACAGUGUUACAUAUAUAACCAGGCCAACUAUAUCUGGCUAGUUAAAUCACAAACAUGCCAAAAACUUAGCAGAACAGAAAUAUUGUACCCUAGAAUAUGAUGCUAGCAAUGGAACGAGACCAAACACAUCAUCCCCAAAACUAAGGUGACAGACUAAAACAACUAAGUUGGCUUUUCUGUGGUAAAGAGAGGAUGAGUGCCACCAAAAACAAAAUACUCGUUUGUAGGCUUUUUUUCUUGUCUGGGUCAUUAUUUUCAGUUACUAACCUUAACAUUAUUAAAUUGAAAUAUUUUGCACUUUUCCAUUAUAUAUAACCUUUUGAGGUACUAUUAGAAAAUUUUUUUUAAAUCUUUCUUCCCUACAACUUUUUUUGUCUUACUCAUAUUUUAAUUCUGCAAGCUUAGUAUAGUGUCCAACAAAUGUUUAACAUAUGUUUUUGAAUGAAUGAAUUAUACUUUUUAAAAUGAUUCUCGACUGUUUCCACUCAACAUUUUUUAACCCUACAAUAUGCAGAGUAUUUGGUGCUCUUUGACUUAAUGAUUCCCUUUCUACAUGUUUAUCCUAAUGUUUUAUUUAUUGUUUGUUUGUUUGCUUGUUUUAUGAGGGGGAGAUAGUUAGGUUUAUUCAUUUAUUUAUGUUUGGAGGAGGUACUAGGAAUAUCCUGAUGUUUUAAAUGACACAUGUAUAAGGAAUUCCUACAAGAGGACUCACUAAGUCAAAGUAAAAUGUGUAUUUUAAAUGUCAGUACAAGUUAUUCAAAAGCUUUUCACCAAAGUAGAUGCUAAUUGGUAACAAAAGUAUUAUUUCUCUCACCAAGUGUUCAGCACAGUGCUUUACACAGAGCAGUUAGAACUGUUGAGUGGAUCGAACUCACAUCAAGUGAGAAAACUGCGUUUUUAUGGUGGCAUAUACAUCUUUAUAGAGGAAAGAGCUGACUAAUAUGCCUAGGAAAGGAGGAAAACAAGACCACAAGAGAGGCGCAAUUGAAAGUGGGCCACCCUCCUUCAUCAUCUUCGUCAGACAGUUACUGAGUGCCUACCGUG